CCUGAGCCUCAGUGGCUGUUGUGUCACCAUACCCACACAAUCUCACUCCUUCCUCCUGUGAGGGCCCUUCCCUUGCUUCAGGGCCUCGUACACUCCCCGGUCUCCCCCUCCCCAGCCUUCAACACCAUCAUAUCCACGGCCCUCCUCAGCUCAGCUCAGCUGCAGGCCAGCCAUUUGGGUCUAACACCCACACAGAAGAAAACAGUGUUUCCAUACAAGUUCUUGCUGUGACCCUGGACUCAUGCCAAGCUGACCCAGGCAAUAAACGGAAGGCAGAGCGAAGAGGGAGAAUGCCCGGGGUAGACUUGUGGCUGGGAAGGCAAGACAACAACAGAUGUGGGUGGCCAGACCUGGACUUCUGUACCCACUCUACCCAGCCUGGUGUGUAGCCUUGAGAAGGAUGCUCCAGCUCUGUUCCUCAAUCUCUGUGACGGUGAAAGCAGCUCAGGAAGGCCACCUCUAGAGCAGACCUCCUGAAGAGCAGGACUGGGCUCGGAGUGAUCAACUGCAUUCACCCAGCUGGCUCCAGGGAUUUCUCCAGUGCUACAGUGCAUCUCAGCAGGAAGUGAGACCCAUCCUCGUGGGUCUCAGCGUCAAGAUGCUGGAUAUAGCUCCGUGACUCCCGAGCCUCGCCAGCUACUGAAGGCUCCUCUGUCACCCCCGGAAGACCCUCAGUCUCUGGAGGGUCGGGUAAAGAUGUGCAGGUCUUGCUUCUGUAGGACUCAGUUAGGCUUCUGCAUGCUGCCUGGGCUUCCAGCUGUUGUGUAGAGCCCGGCAUCCUUGUGUUGGGGCCACCCAAGGUCCAGCCUGCUCUCCUUGUUGGUCUUGAACUAGUUUGUCCUCAAAGACACUUAAUGCACAUCCCGA